CAGGCACUGCCUCGUUCUGGCUUGAGUUUCUCUGGCUGGGAGAUCAAAUACCCUGAUUGGAUGACUGCCAGGGACUAUCUUCUCCAGGCGCCGAGUCAGCAUCUGUCCUGAAGCGGAGCAGGAUAUCGAGGAUCCAACAGGGGGAACCAGAGUGGAUGCCGGCGAUGUGACAUUCAGAGAGUUUUACGUUUUGUUCCUGUUACGAUCGGUCGAGCAAAUUCCACGAAGUCAUCUAUGAGGACUGGCCACGCUCCUGCGGUGAAGAAAAACACAAAAAAAUUAUAUAUUAAUUUUUCUACAAGCAAGAUUGUAAGUUAAAAUACAUCUAAUUUUCCUGUGAUUAGGAAAAUCGCUAGAAUAAAAUGUCAUUUUACUACAUGGACGAAAGUUUGCAUAAUAAAGGGGAUGUCAAUUACUAUAAUAACGAUGAUUAAAAUAAAGAAAUUGGAUUUCUGCACAGAAUGAAAGCAUCCAUCCAGUGGAACCUCAGUUUUUGUAUGAUUUGAUUUUUUCAACAAAAAUGGCCAAAAUACAUUCAAUUUGUUUAAAUAUGGGUAUUUUUGGACAAAUAAUCUGUCACAGUCAACCACGAAACAGCGAUAAUUUAGUCAGUUUAUUUUGAGAUACCGCAAGAGAGAAAUUAUUUUUUGUAUAUGUAUUUUGUAUGUAUACAGUAGGGUUGGAUAUCUUCUAUUCAGAUAUACAAAGUGUUGAAAGUUGAAAUGGCGCUAAACACCAGCGAAAGUUGUGAAUCUCCCCAUACAGAUCGUUAAUAGAAGCUUGCAGGGGUUAGCUUAAUUUCGGACGCCAAGUAGUUUGUGUGUGUGCACGCGGGAGUCGGGCUCCAUGAGUAUAUUUUCACCAUGUUGUGUUUUAAUUAUUUAAUGCAAAGAACGUUUUACAAUGUCCGAUGAAGAUGUGCAGAUUCUGAGCGGGAAAAAACAAAACGUGCAUUUAUUUUUAACGCAGCUUUAAUGUCUUAGGCGUAAAUAGACAUUUUCCGCGCACGGAACACACUUCCGUGACAUCCUUCAAAUUAAUAGUGCUGUUUGCCCUAUGUCUGCGUAAACAAAACAAGAGUGUCAUAAAAAUAUCUUCCAUAUGUAGUUGGAAUUUCAUGGGUGACUACAUCUUCCAGUUUGUUGAAUAUUUAGUAGCAAUGUGUGAAGAGGCCGA